rnacentral:rRNA from 1 species
AGUGAACGCUGGCGGUAGGCCUAACACAUGCAAGUCGAACGGCAGCACAGUAAGAGCUUGCUCUUACGGGUGGCGAGUGGCGGACGGGUGAGGAAUACAUCGGAAUCUACUUUUUCGUGGGGGAUAACGUAGGGAAACUUACGCUAAUACCGCAUACGACCUACGGGUGAAAGCAGGGGAUCGUCGGACCUUGCGCGAUUGAAUGAGCCGAUGUCGGAUUAGCUAGUUGGCGGGGUAAAGGCCCACCAAGGCGACGAUCCGUAGCUGGUCUGGGAGGAUGGUCAGCCACACUGGAACUGAGACACGGUCCAGACUCCUACGGGAGGCAGCAGUGGGGAAUAUUGGACAAUGGGCGCAAGCCUGAUCCAGCCAUACCGAGUGGGUGAAGAAGGCCUUCGGGUUGUAAAGCCCUUUUGUUGGGAAAGAAAAGCAGCAGGUUAAUACCCAGCUGUUCUGACGGUACCCAAAGAAUAAGCACCGGCUAACUUCGUG